GGAGAAGUACCGAAGUACACAUAACGGGGUGGUCUUGAAAACCGUGAGGGGCUGCUCCACCGCAGGUUCGAAUCCUGUCCUCUCCG
rnacentral:tRNA from 1 species